rnacentral:rRNA from 1 species
AUACGGCUAUCGUACUCAUGCAGUCGAACGGUGAAGCCAAGCUUGCUUGGUGGAUCAGUGGCGAACGGGUGAGUAACACGUGAGCAACCUGCCCUGAACUCUGGGAUAAGCGCUGGAAACGGUGUCUAAUACUGGAUAUGAGCUGCGGAGGCAUCUUCGUGGUUGGAAAGAUUUUUCGGUUUGGGAUGGGCUCGCGGCCUAUCAGCUUGUUGGUGAGGUAAUGGCUCACCAAGGCGUCGACGGGUAGCCGGCCUGAGAGGGUGACCGGCCACACUGGGACUGAGACACGGCCCAGACUCCUACGGGAGGCAGCAGUGGGGAAUAUUGCACAAUGGGCGGAAGCCUGAUGCAGCAACGCCGCGUGAGGGAUGACGGCCUUCGGGUUGUAAACCUCUUUUAGCAGGGAAGAAGCGUGAGUGACGGUACCUGCAGAAAAAGCGCCGGCUAACUACGUGCCAGCAGCCGCGGUAAUACGUAGGGCGCAAGCGUUAUCCGGAAUUAUUGGGCGUAAAGAGCUCGUAGGCGGUUUGUCGCGUCUGCUGUGAAAACCCGAGGCUCAACCUCGGGCCUGCAGUGGGUACGGGCAGACUAGAGUGCGGUAGGGGAGAUUGGAAUUCCUGGUGUAGCGGUGGAAUGCGCAGAUAUCAGGAGGAACACCGAUGGCGAAGGCAGAUCUCUGGGCCGUAACUGACGCUGAGGAGCGAAAGGGUGGGGAGCAAACAGGCUUAGAUACCCUGGUAGUCCACCCCGUAAACGUUGGGAACUAGUUGUGGGGUCCAUUCCACGGAUUCCGUGACGCAGCUACGCAUUAAGUUCCCCGCCUGGGGAGUACGGCCGCAAGGCUAAAACUCAAGGAAUUGACGGGGACCCGCACAAGCGGCGGAGCAUGCGGAUUAAUUCGAUGCAACGCGAGAACCUUACCAAGGCUUGACAUACACGAGAACGCUGCAGAAAUGUAGAACUCUUUGGACACUCGUGAACAGGUGGUGCAUGGUUGUCGUCAGCUCGUGUCGUGAGAUGUUGGGUUAAGUCCCGCAACGAGCGCACCCUCGUUCUAUGUUGCCCAGCACGUAAUGGUUGGGGACUCAUGGGAUACUGCCCGGGUCACUCGGAGGAGUUGGGAUGACGGUCCAAUCAUCAUGCCCCAUUAUGGUUCUUGGGGG